UUUUUAGUACAAAUAUGUCCCAUGCAAUAUUUGGGACAUACUUACCCUAAAA
rnacentral:pre_miRNA from 1 species